AAGAAACUACCGAUGUCGGUCGAGUUACGGAAUACGGAUAUUUCUUCUUCCCUUUCCUUUAAAUGUCCUCGUGUACUAUACCCAUGUGAGUGGUGGGUGUAUUCACGAGGACACCCUUUCUCCUAUCGUGGUGGAUUCAACUAUUUUGCGGAUGGAGCAGUUGUGGAUGCCUAGUCGAAUUUCCCAGGCUUAGCCUUAAAGGAUAUCGAUAUAGCCGAGGAAAGCGCAAACUCCAUAACGAAAUGACAGCACAGUCACCUUGUUAAUAAAUUGAAACGAAGAAAGAUAAAAAAAAACUAUAUAGCUGGAGGCUUGUGAAUUUCAUUUCUUCGACGCCGUGACGCCUUUUUUUUCUUCUAAAAACCAAGUCGGGCGGACCGGAAUUUCCCAGAAUCAAGGGCGAAUCCUUGUGCGGAGUACACGUCCGAUUUCUCGCGAUUCAACACGGCAACAAUAUCAAGGCCCUGGCGAUGAUGCUGGACGAAGUGGUGAACGAAUCGAUAUCGUGGGCGAUGAACAAAUCCAAUUGGUCGUCGCCGAUGUACGAAGAUGAUGACGAGGACGGCUACAUCGAGUACCGGGAUCGACCGGAAACGUACGUCGUGCCGAUCCUGUUCAGUCUCAUCUUUCUGGUCGGUGUCCUUGGCAACGGGUCCCUCAUCUACGUCCUGUGUCGUCACAAGUCGAUGCGCAGCGUCCCCAACACGUUCAUCUUCAAUUUGGCGCUGGGCGAUCUCCUGAUCCUCAUCUUCACGGUCCCCUUCACGUCCACCGUUUACACGCUGGACUCGUGGCCCUUUGGCGAGUUUGUCUGCAAAGCCUCUGAAUUUGCCAAGGACACGUCAGUUGGCGUUUCCGUCUUCACCCUGACGGCGCUCAGCUUCGAUCGGUACACGGCCAUCGUGCGACCCGUUCAGUCAUUUGUAAGUGGCCCAAGGUCCAAAGUGGUCAUCGUCUGUCUGUUGGUCAUCUGGGUGACUUCUUUGAUACUGGCCACCCCGGCCGCCAUGUUUUCCCAUUUGAUGAAGGCCAACGGCUCCAAGAUUCCGGAUGAAGAAAGGGAAAUGGACGCCAACGGGACCUUCAUCGGGCCCAUGUUCAACGACAUUUACAUCUGCUACCCAUUUCCUCCCGAACUCGGACCCAACUACCCCAAACUUGUCAUCCUACUCCGCUUUCUACUCCACUACUGCCUACCGUUACUCACCAUCGGAACUUUUUACGUAAUCAUGGCCUACCAUCUCCUGCGCAGCGUCCAGAAUAUCCCUGGGCAAGCGACGUUGACAACAACCGCAUCGGUGCGUCAUCGAUAUCCUGCGGAUGCUUCUUCCACCAACAAGACCGAUCCAGCUCUUUUGAUCCAGCAACAACAACAACCGAACCAGAAUCGAGCACGUCGCAAACUCGCAAAGAUGGUGCUGUCGUUUGUGGUCCUGUUUGCCGUCUGCUUCCUGCCGAUCCACGUCUUCUUCCUUUGGUUCUACUUCCAUCCGGCGGCUCUGCAGCAGUACAACGGUUUUUGGCACACGCUAAAGAUCGCCGGCUUCGUCCUGGCUUACAUCAAUUCCUGCAUCAACCCCAUCGCCCUCUAUUGCGUCAGCACCAGCUUUCGCAAACAUUUCAACCGACUGCUCUGCUGCUGCAGCGCUGAUCGCGACGGAUCCAUCAUCAGUCGCUCCGGGCCGGUCAGCUACUGCGGCGGCUCAAUGUGCGCAGGCAAUAAUAGCCGCGGGGCUGGCACCGCCCUCAUGUCGGACGACCCCACCGUCAUCACUCACCGCUCAAACAGUCGGCGACAAAACACCAUCAGCACGUCCGUCAACCGUCGCAAUCACAACGAGAAUCACCGAAACGCCGACGCAAUCCCGCUCAAAGAAAUCCAUCAACAGCAGCAACCGCAGGCGCCGCUGGACAAACAAUCGAGUUGCUGAAAUUCAAUUUAGUCUAACACUACAACAACGUGCAAACAAAAUCACAUUUAGAGCCUUUGAAUUUGUGGAUUUUUUUUCCCCCGCUUCCACCCCCCUCCCCCCACUCCCGAUAAGCAAAUUUAACUGAUUGGGUUAUAACAAAUUCAAGCUCACUCACUCGAUUUUGAAUGCCGUGCACAAACACACACGCACACAAAGUCACACAUUUUUCUAUUUCUUCUGAUUUGGUUUGAACUCGGAACAGUAUAAUCCCAUUCUUGCAUUCAGGCCCGGUUAUACAGCAAGACUGUACUCAACUUUUCCCGGUUCUUCAGCUUUGUUGUUGUUGUUGUAACAACCCCCCCCCCCUUAAACGAAGACUAACAAAUAAACCAUAGAGCUCGCCUUUCCUGUUA
rnacentral:misc_RNA from 1 species